rnacentral:rRNA from 1 species
GACGAACGCUGGCGGCGUGCUUAACACAUGCAAGUCGAGCGGUAAGGCCCUUUCGGGGGUACACGAGCGGCGAACGGGUGAGUAACACGUGGGUGACCUGCCCUCAGCUCUGGGAUAAGCCUGGGAAACCGGGUCUAAUACUGGAUAUGACUCCAUGACGCAUGUUGUGGGGUGGAAAGCCUUGUGCGGCUGAGGAUGGGCCCGCGGCCUAUCAGCUUGUUGGGGGGUGAUGGCCUACCAAGGCGACGACGGGUAGCCGGCCUGAGAGGGCGACCGGCCACACUGGGACUGAGACACGGCCCAGACUCCUACGGGAGGCAGCAGUGGGGAAUCUUGCGCAAUGGGCGAAAGCCUGACGCAGCGACGCCGCGUGGGGA